rnacentral:lncRNA from 1 species
UGGACAUAAGCAACAUGAUUUUAAAAGAUCCUAGCAUUAAUCUUCUCUUCCUGAGUAAUAGGCCAGAGUCUUGUUUCACAGAACUUUUCAUUCUGGGAAGUUAGCCUGAAAAGUCUUAAUUUCCUAUAAGGGACACUGAGCAUGACUUUCAAUACAGAGCCCAGGAAAGAGCUGAAGAUAUGGGCAAGACCCGAGUUUGGACGCUAGAUUCUUACUAAGAGAACUUCCUCCCUCUCAGCCCGUUUCUUCUUUGGUAAAAUGUGGAGCCUGACACCACAAAACAGGACUAUCGGGUGAGACAACAGAUGGGAAAGUGACCUGGAAACAUUAGGGCGUAGAGAAGCCGUUUGUAUUUAUUUUAAUAACUUCCUUUCUCUCUUUGUUUUCCUUGCUCCUGGACGUAAUGAAAUUGGAUCAUUUUUAUGGCCCCCAUUUGUUUGUUUUGUUUAAGAAGGAAGGAUCGAUAUCUAACAAUGGCAUUGCAAUUCUCUCGGGCUCACGUGUCACCAAAGAAUCUCCAAUACAAUCUGUCACAGAAGCCCAUUCAAGCAAAGGGCCCCGUCGGGCUGAUCCUAACAGCCUAAGACCCAAGACACAUGGGAAGAACGAUAAUCCUGACACCUUCUGCCCCCUGCACACACACCGCCUUCAGUUGAAUGGAGGAGCCUUGUGAUGGUCUUAGCCAAUGGAUUAUGGAGGUAGUGGUG